UCCAUGAAGUCGGAAUCGCUAGUAAUCGUGGAUCAGAAUGCCACGGUGAAUACGUUCCCGGGCCUUGUACACACCGCCCGUCACACCAUGGGAGUGGGUUGCAAAAGAAGUAGGUAGCUUAACCUUCGGGAGGGCGCUUACCACUUUGUGAUUCAUGACUGGGGUGAAGUCGUAACAAGGUAACCGUAGGGGAACCUGCGGUUGGAUCACCUCCUUACCUUAAAGAAGC
rnacentral:rRNA from 4 species